rnacentral:rRNA from 1 species
GACGAACGCUGGCGGCGUGCUUAACACAUGCAAGUCGAACGGGCCCGCUCUCUUUUUUGGGGGUGGGUUGAGUGGCGAACGGGUGAGUAUCACGUGAGUAACCUGCCCCCUGCUCCUGGAUAACUGCUUGAAAGGGCGGCUAAUACGGGGUGUGCCGGCUGGUCCGCAUGGGCCUGGUCGGGAUAGUUUCAUCUUCGGGUGUUUCGGUGGGGGAUGGGCUCGCGGCCUAUCAGCUUGUUGGUGGGGUGAUGGCCCACCAAGGCGGUGACGGGUAGCCGGCCUGAGAGGGUGGGCGGCCACACUGGGACUGAGACACGGCCCAGACUCCUGCGGGAGGCAGCAGUGGGGGGUGUUGCGCAAUGGGCGGAAGCCUGAUGCAGCGACGUCGCGUGAGGGAUGGAGGCCUUCGGGUUGUGAACCUCUUUCUCCGGUGGUGAAGGCCCUGUCCGUUGCGGCGGGGUUGACGGUAGCCGGGUAUGAAGCGCCGGCUAACUACGUG